UAGGGGAUAUUGGUGAAUGGGCGAAAGCCUGAACCAGCAACGCCGCGUGUGCGAUGAAGGCCUUCGGGUUGUAAAGCACUUUUUGCCGGGAAGAGGAAGGACGGUACCGGUAGAAUAAGCCUCGGCUAACUACGUGCCAGCAGCCGCGGUAAAACGUAGGAGGCGAGCGUUAUCCGGAUUUACUGGGUGUAAAGCGCGUGCAGGCGGUUGGAUAAGUUGGGUGUGAAAGCUCCUGGCUCAACUGGGAGAGGUCGCUCAAGACUGUCUGACUGGAGCGUGGUAGGGGAAGGCGGAAUUCCGGGUGUAGUGGUGAAAUGCGUAGAUAUCCGGAGGAACACCAGUGGCGAAAGCGGCCUUCUGGACCACGACUGACGCUCAGACGCGAAAGCUAGGGGAGCAAACGG
rnacentral:rRNA from 1 species